rnacentral:lncRNA from 1 species
CAACAAUAACAUUACAGUCAAAGAUCCAAACCUAAAUGAAAAAUCAAAAUACAAAAACCAAAAACACACAUAAACUCAUACUACAAAUAUACACAUAUAGAUACCGUAUUUGCGAAGGCGGCCGAAGAUGGUCUUUUUGUGGAUGGCGGCGAGAGGGUUCUUCUUUGGGUCGACAAGCCACCGAGAUAGCGAUGAUGCCAUUGGUUUCACUCCCUCUGCUAUCUAUUUGGUCAAGUUUUUGGGGGUGUAUACCAACAGUUGACAGUCAAGUGUCGCUGAAUGGAAAUCGCUUACAUUUUACGGAUUUGCAUAUUCAAAUUAGAUCUGAUCAAAUGCGUGUUUAGUUAAAAUAAGAGCUAGAGAAAUGCGAGUUUAGUUGUAAAA